CAGGCAUGUCUGGGCUUGUCUCCUGGGCGUUGGGGCACCAUUCUAUCUGGGCCCAUUUGCAUAACGAUAUUGAAGAGUCCCCACAGUAUAGAGUUAAUUCUAAGGGAGGAAAGAACCACACAACCAUAGUGUGAUCUUGCGGUAAGGGAGAGAGGAGAAGGGGUCUGCCCCAGAUCUGCCGGCAUAGAUUUUUUUAAAUUCUCUGGGUCUUCUGUGAUUCCAGUGGAGAACAGAUGGAAUGUGAGGAAAAGUCAGUGGAUCGGUUUUCACAAAGGCUGAAGGAUUCUGCCACCUUCUCCUAGAACCCAUGUUGGGGGAGAUCUGAUGGCUUUAAGUCUCACACAUUUUAAAUCCUCAAGGGCUGUGCCCUUGGACGACAAUACCCUCGCUGAGGAACUGAUACUACCACAGUUUGACUGGGGUGACGGAUUUUGAGAGGAAGAACCCAGAGGUGAAAUGUCCUCAUUCUCUCAUAUUGGAAGUGUGUGGUGUUGCAAUGUCUUAUCACUGCUGACGGUGGUCUCCGUCACCUGGCUGAGGAGGAGCCACACCUUGCACAUGGAUACACUUUACUGCACUAGCAGGAGGAAGGAAGUUUUGCCCCUACCUUGACAGCAGUGUAACUGGCGGGAGACUCACAGCUCACCCGAGGAGAGGCCAUUAUACUUCAGCCUCCCAGGUUACUCCAAUGGACUCUGUAUUUAUGCCAACAUUCCCAAUCUCCUGCUUUCCUCUGUGAAGAGCAAUCCUUUCCUUUGUUUGGCAGACAUUCCUAUAGUUUUGCUAUAGCUUGCUUGUUGUGGAUUGAAGUUUUCUGCUAUUCCUGAGUAAACCCAUUUUUCGUUGGUAAAAUAACUGGCAGGUUUUUUUUUUUAAAGAUUUUGUUAAUUUAUUUAGAGAAAAAGAGAGAGAGUAAGA
rnacentral:lncRNA from 1 species